AUCCUUUCACAGUUCCUAAGCACGAUGAUUGGAUAUUCAUACUUGUGUAUGAAAUGUCCCUUUUUCUAAACCUCAUGUCAGCACGUUACUCAUCUGAUG
ensembl:snoRNA